AAUUCUCAGGCAUGCGGUGGUCUCAUUUAAACUUAAAGAAAUGUCCCUCAUGUGACAUGUAAGACUGCGCUUGAUGCGGAUUCCAACGUCCAUCAAUUCCUUCUCAUUUCUAAAUGAUGUCAUAACCUCUCUGACAUCUCUAAUUGAUGCAUAUCUAGCAUACAACCAAUCCAACUAUCCAAUAACGAAGGACCUUCCAAAUUUUUCAUUUUAACGAUGCGUUGGGCUGCUAGAAUGUUCAUCACCUAGGAUAAUUCUUCGGAAGAGAUCGAGUAGACGAUGACAAGGCUUUGACUCGUUCUUAGGACUUUGCGACUUCAAUUUGGGGCCAAUAAUUUUGUUGUAUGGGAAGAACAGGCUGGGGUAAUAAUUCUUCAUUUUUUGCAGCAAGGACUCCCUCGUACCUAUAAAUUCCUGUAAUAUUGACUCGUCGUUAAUGCCGAAGAAUUCCUGGAACACUGGCAUCCAAAAAAAACCCACCGCUCCUGAACUCACCUUCUUCAUCAGCUUCAAAAAAUAAUUUUUAAAUAUAAAGUUAAAUAGAUAACUUAUUCUUAAUCUUAAACAUAUUUUCUUUCAUUUGUCCAUAUUUAAUAAAAACAUAUUUUAUAACUAUGACUUUACAUCCAUAAAUUAUUUUUUUAUACAACAUAUUAUAUAAUUAUGUUAUACAUUUAAAAUACUUUAAACAUAGAUAUUUAACAAAUACAUUUAUAACUUAAGAUGAAUAAAAGUAAAUAUAAGUUUAAAUUAAUGAACAAAUAUUAUUUAAAAUUAAUGAGAAUAAAUACGAUUAAUUUAAUUAUUUAAAAUAAAUUUUAAGUUAAUUUUAUUCAAUAAUCUUAAUAUUUAAAUUUAAAAAUAAGUUUUAAGUCAAUAUUAACUUAAAUUGUUAAGUAAUAGUAAUAAGUUUUACCCAACAUCUUUUUAAUUAUUGAAUUCAUAUUUCUUUUAUCAUUUCUCUUAUCCAAUUAAAAUUAUUAGAAAUCCAUCCAUUUAUGUUUUCUAUUUAAUCUCUUUAGCAAACUCGUCAUGUUUGAGUAGUUAAAUUAAAUCUUAUGUUUCCUCUCUCUUUGGGAUUUGAGAAAAAAAAAUCGAUAAUUUUAAAAAACAUUUAUUAAAAUAUGAUAGUUUUAAAAAUAUUUUAAAAUUUAUAAUAGCAAAGCAAAAAUCCAAUUGGAAAUAUUUUUGAAGCACCAUAUUUUAAUAAAUAUUAAAAAAUGGUUUUUUUUUUCCCCUCAAAAUCCCCAUCUUGGCUCUUGAGCAUUGCCCUCCCACUUCUAGUUAAUUUGUAACCACAUGUUUCAAUUUUGUUUAUUGAUGAGACAUUUCAAUAAUAUCCGAAUUGCCUUCACAGGUUUGGACGUUUCUUUGCCUUGUAUCUCGGCUAAGGAUAAUCUAGUUUUUUCUUAUCAUGUAUCACGUAAUGUUAUGGGAAAUUGUCUUAAACAAAAAUAUUGUUCAACAUUUAAUAUCCAUUAGACUUAAUUUCAUUCACCUUCCCUUAGAUUUUUGUUAAUACAUUUUAUUCUUAUAAAUUAAAAUUUCAUCAAAUAUAUAUUUUAUUUCUUUUUAUUUUUUAUUUUCACUCACCUUCUUUCUCAUUUAAAAUAAAUAAAGUAUUUGAUAAAAUUUCAAACUUAUAAAUACCAGAUAAAACUAGUCAAAACCUCAAGAAAAUGAAAUUAACUCAAUCCCAUUGUAAAUUCUCGUAUGAUUAAAUAUUAAGAUGAAUACGACAUAUCUUUAAGAUGAGUAUAAAUAAAUAUAAUAUCAAAUUAUAUAUAAAAAGGAUAGUUUAAAUUAAAUAAUCAAUUUAAUUUUCAAAUAAAAUGAUUAAUGUCAUUUUAACAUAUACGUGAUAUCGACUCCUACAUGUAUGGUUUAAUUUAAUGUUACCCACAUAGCUAUUCCAAAAUUAAAAUUUUUACUUACCCCUACGAUGUUAAGGCGGAGUAAUUGAUCAUACAAUGCAUAAUAAUUAUUUUCUUCAUUAGAUUAAAUAAUACAAAUUACAUAUACGAAUGAGAUUAUUUAGAUGGGAUUUCUAAUUAAUGAUCCAGCUUAGGUGUGAACUUAAAUUAUGUGUUUGUUGGAAACCCUUGUGAUGGAAUAAAAUUUCAUCCUUUUAUACUUGUAUUUAUUUUUUUUGAAGAACAAGUUUGACUUUUCCUUUAUAAUAAACAUUAAGUCUUUUUUUAAAGGGUAAAUAAGACUUUAAUAAUGUUAAUUGUUAAGUGAAGUGUGAACAUCUCCUCCAUGUGAACAACUGGAGCAUCUUUUACCUACAACUUAUAUGUAUUGUCUCGUUGUUCACAUGAAACAAUAAAUAGUGUAAGUCAAAUUCUCAUUACAAAUAUAAAAUUGCAUUAAUUCUCUAUUAUUAUUAAUCUUGGAUAUUGCACCAACAAAAACUGAGAUUAUAAUUAAAUAAAUCCAAAUCAGACAGCACUGAGCCUCUUUGUUGUCAUUUUUUUCAACCUUGGUGCCAAUCAUAAGUCCGGUAUUAAUUUAAUCAUGAUAUGAUCUUGAUUCAUUGAUUACAAUAUAGUUUAUUUGUGGUAGAAUUUUGGGAAAAUUAAUAUAAAAAAUAUGUGAGGAGGAAUCUUUUAUGGAUGGUUCAGGGAGAAGAGGCAAAUGAAGAUGUCCCAGAAAUGAAUUGGUGAUCAAAUAAUCCAAGAAAAAAAGCAUCAAAUCUAUGAUAUGUAUAAUGAAAGAUGUAUUUAAGUAAAUAAAUAAGCUCGUGUUAGGCAUGAACCCUUCCCAAAACCAAGGAGACACGCAUUAGCCUAUUUUAUGUGCUUCACUUGCUGUAUAUUAGUAGGUGUAUGAAUAGAUUAAUCUUUCUGAAGAAAAAAAAAAAAGAAAGAGAAGAAGACUUGAGUGCUCCUUUUUAAAUGACUUUCCCUUUGGAUAUCGUUAUAUCAACAAGGACUAGCUGACAGCAGCCUGUUGCUUACUCGAUUGGAAUUAUGGAGCUUGCAUGCAAUGAGCUGGUGAUUCAUAUUUCACAGGUCUGAUGUGGAUGAACUUUUUUCUUUCUUUUCUUUUAAUAAAUGAUAAGAAUAUCUCACUUAUAAAACAAAAAGAGAAAAUUAGACUAUGCGUGGAAACUAUUCUCAACAAUAAUUUUUUGUUUUUUAAACAUAAAAAAAAAAAUAUGAAAACACAUUUGCCUGUAAUUAUUUCUAAAAUAGGUUACUGAUGAUAUCUUUUAAUUAUUUUUGGUUAAUUUUAUUUUUUAUUUAGAGCUAUUUUUAAAUGUAAUUUUAGAAAUAUGAAAAAUGAUUAAAAUAUAUAAAAGGGUACAUAAAAGAAUAUUUUGAAAACAUAGAAAAUAAAUUGACAAUAUUUAAAAUUACCAAAGAAGCUUUUAUUAUACCAUCGUAAAAUUAUUUUUGAUAAUUAAUCUCAAAAACCAUCUUUUUAUAACUAUUUUGAAAAAUAUUCUCUAAUUAACAAACCUUAUGCUUUUAAGGAGGAUAAGGUAAAAUUUUAAUAAAAAAUAUAAAAUAUGAAUAUUAAUAUUUUAGUAAAGUUAUAAAUUAUAUUUUUUUUAUUAAAAAUAAAUAUUUUUUUUAGAAAAUGAUAAUAGUUAAUAAUAUCUUAUUUAAACUGAAUUAUGAAAAUAAGUAUAAUUUAUUUUUCAAAAUAAGCAAUAAAUUAAUCAAGUUUUGAUCACGUACACAUGUUUAUUCCCUAGUUACAAGUAUUCUGAACCAGUUCAAUCCCACAAAAUUUUUAUAAUAAUUAGCAUAAUUUUUUAGUUUUAAUUUAUUUUUAAAAUAAAAGCAUGGAACUAGAUUGAAUCUUUCUUGGGAAUCCCUAGCAAUGCUGGAGGCUGUGGAGUGGCGGGAAAUCAGGGUCAAUUUCAAUCAAACGUGUAUCUCUUUGCAUGUUUAAAAAAAAAAAAAAAAACCACUUAGUCAUUAAUUGUUACAAGCUGUCCAUAUACUAUUCCACCACUUAUCCUGACGGAAUACUUAAAUUAAAUCCUACGUCAUCAUGUUCAACAUGUCUCUACCACUUUCUAAUUGGUAGCCACAAGUUUUCAAUUCCAUUUAUUAAUAAUAAAUUGAAAACAAAAUCAAACUUUCAAAUACUCGCAACAACGUAUGUGAUUUUUUUUCAUCAAAUAAAUCCAUAAAAAGAAUAGUCUCAUUACUAUUAUUUUUUAUUAAAAGAAAAAAAAAAUUCUCGAUAAAAAAUUCAAUUAACUAUUUUCUGGACACCCAAAGCGUUACACCAAGGGGAAAAGAAAAGGAUCAUACAAGUUAAAGUUAAUUAAUUUGACAAAAAAAAAUCAAAUUUGUUUCAUCAUCUCCCAUUAUUAUUUCUAGGAAGAUGUGGUGUGGUGUGACGUAGAACUAAUUAGCUCUUAACAAACAAAUUGAGCAAAAAAUAAUAUCCAAAUUAUGUCCUAUAUAUACCAGUUUAGGCUAGGGGUGUAUAGAGUAGAGAGAUAUCUAGUAGUACUCCCUCUGCCUAUCUCAUUCUCCUCCUAAGUCCUAACAAAUAACAAUGGCCGGGAACGAGGUGGUCCUUCAAAUGGAGGAGCACCGGAAAGUAGUCGCUGAUCAGUUUGGAAAACCUGCGGAUGGCAGUGAUCAUAUGAAAGCCUUGGCUGACUUAAAAUCCAAAUUUCGUCGACUAGAAAAUGAAGAGGAAUCUGAAUCUCCAUUAUCAUCAAGUGUAAAGCCACAACGUCCCUUAUCAUCAAGUGUAAAGCCACAAUGUCCCAUGGUUCCAAAGAGGUUGCGACCAGAUGUCAAGGGUGCUGAAGACUACUACUAUGCGCCAAAACUCAUUUCUUUGGGUCCUUACCACCAUGGCAAGCCCCACCUCAAGGAUGGAGAAACGCUCAAGCUUAAAUUGGCAGAAGCCUACAUCCAAGAAUGUGAGCCAACAGUGGAUGAAAUUUACAACACAAUUAGCGAUAGCAUUAGUGAGCUGAGGGGCUGUUAUGAUGCGGAGUCGACAAAGAAAUAUAAGGAUGACGAAUUAACCAUCAUGAUGCUGGUGGACGGGUGUGCUCUACUCUGUUACAUUUUAUGCGUUUGCUUAGGUUAUGGCCAUGAAGAUUUCAAUAUCAGAUAUCAGGAUAUAAGCCUUCUGCACCAGGAUGCGUUGCUGCUGGAAAACCAACUUCCCUAUCAAUUACUCCUUGAGCUGAUGAAGAUGGUGGACCCAGGAUCAGCCAAUGAUUUUUGGACGGCCAUGUUCCAGGAAUUCUUCGGCAUCAGCGACGAGUCAAUAUUUCAGGAAUUUAUCGGUAUGAAGAAGAAGGAGUCAUUCCUGCAAAAAAUGAAGAAUUAUUGCCCCCGCCUAUUCCUCCCAAUCAACCAAAUUAUUGACCCCAAAUCGAAGCCGCAAAGUCCUAAUAACGAGUCAAAGCCUUGUCAUCAUCUCCUCGAUCUCUUCCGAAGAAAUUUCCUAGGCGAUGAACGUUCCGGCAGCCCAACGCACCCAGAAAAUGAAAAUUUGGAAGGUCCUUCGUCAUCGGAAACUGAAAUUGGCCGGAGGCUGGGUAGAGCAUCAGUUAGAGAUGUGAAGGAGGUUAUGGCAUCAUUUAGAAAUGUGAAGGAGCUGAUGGACGCUGGAAUCCGCAUCAAGCGCAGUCCUACACGUCACUUGAGGGACAUUUCUUUCCGUUCAAAUGGGAUCACCGCAUGCCUGAGAAUUCCUCCCAUCACCAUUGAUAACUCAACCAAGGCUAUGUUCUUGAACUUGAUAGCCUAUGAAAUGAGCUCAGACGUCGACCAUGACUUCAUCUCUUACCUUCGCUUCCUUGAUUCCCUCAUUGAUCAUGCUGAUGACGUUAAGGAGCUGCAGUCCAUCGGGAUACUCCAAAACAAUCUAGGAACCCACGACGAAGUAGCUCAAUUCUUCAACACCGUGUCCGCCAACUUGGAAUCCAACUUUCAUGCUUACAAAGACGUGAGAGUGAAAAUUCGGAAGCACCUUCAGAGUCACUAUAACAGCAAACUGACAAUGUGGAUGACACAAUGCCUGGACACCUAUUUCGGUAGCCCCUGGACUAUCAUAGCUUGGGUUGGUGCAGCUUUGGCCCUAUUCCUUACUUUCGUCCAGACUUACUUCUCAGUCUUCCCUCAUUGAUGCAUGCCUGCCCUCUUUUCAACUAUCACCGUCUCAAUUAAGGUAAUAUCCACUCCAAAUUUCCUUGUUCUUCUUGCUAUCUGCAUUUUACCUAGUCCAUGUAAAUUAAGCAAAGACUCAUUGGCUUCAUGCGCUUUUGACCUUACCUAUUUUGUGUUUUUGGUUUCAGCCUAUUUUCUACAUUGCUUUCCGUGCUUAAAUUAAGUAACGAAUGAAUAUGUAGUGUGACCUUAGUUUGGUGAUUUUGUGCUUUCGCAAGCAUGUGCUAUGCUUAUAUAUAUGCAUCAUCAGCAAUAUUAUGUUUGAUUUAAGUACGUAAAUAAAGAUAGAUAUAGGUGGAAUAUUUUUUUUUCUAUGUUUAUAUUCCUGUUAAUGUAUUAUAUAUAUGUUAGGUCUGGCAAUUUUUUAUCUCAUACCAUUUUUAAUUAAAUCAUUUUUAAACUAUAGUUACUAAGCCAAAAAUUAUAAUGCUCUAGAAAUAUAAUCAAUCUCAUUGUCGAAUUUUUCUAAACUAAUCUCAGAAUAAGCUCGAUAUCUCUAACAAUAUAUUAUUUAAGGCACAUAAUAUUCCAAAAAAAAUUCUGCAAAAGAAAAAGAAAUUUGUUGAGAAGUGGUUUAUUUUAGUUGAUCUCUUAUUAUAUUUAGGAAUAUGGACAAAAUGUUAUAUUUAGGAAUAUGAACAAAACAACAUUUUGUCCGAUAGAAAUUUACCCAUCAAUAUGAAUGGAUAGAAAUUUACCCAUCAACAUGAAUGGUAUGGAAAUUUGACUAAUGCUUGUAAGAUCGGAUUUGUAAAUAUUUGUGGGUGAGUUUCUUUUGACAACCGAUGGACAAAUUCAUGUCAUGUAAGACUUAUUUGACAACAUUCUAAAAUAAUGUUGCUAAAAAUAUUUAAGAAUAGUUCUGAAAAUAUGUUUUACCUGUUUUUAGGAAUAAAAUUCUAACUUAUUUUGAGAAUAUUCUUAAAAAAAAAAGAAAAAAAAAAAGAGAGAAUGUUGUUAAAACUUGUUAAGAAUAUUUUUAAAAAUAUGUUUUAUUUGUUUUUAGGAAUAAAAUUCCAUUUAAGAAGCCUAGUCCUUCGCAAAGGCAUGUGCCACCAUCUAUAAUGGAAGAAGUUCACACCUAUUUUUCAUUUUUUUUUUGUUCUUUUUUUAAAACACUUGCAUAGCUUCUGGAUUAAAGUUCUUAAAGAUUAUUUUCAAAAUUUGAUGUAAUAAUUUAAAAAAAAAUUACUAUAAAUAUAUAUAUAUAUAUAUAGAGUUACUAUUAUUUUUAAUUUUACAAAAUAAAAAACAAAAAAUGUACCUAAAGGAUACCUUAAUUUCAACUUAUUAACUAUAUGUAAAAUUAAAAGUAUUUUUCUCCUUUUCAACUUGUUACAUACUUCAGUGCUUGUAUAUUGCUUCCAUACCAUAUGAUAAGAUGUGGCUAAAAUUGAUCUUCAUGUCAAGAAUUGGAAGCCUUCAAUAUGUUGUAAUUGCUUAAAAGAUUUCGCUUUGAGUUAUGUUUCUUGUGGGGUGAUGGCAAAGAAAACCAACAAAUUAAUAGAAAAACUAUAAAUAUAAUUCAGAAUUAAGGAAAAAAGAAAUACAAUAUUGAAGGUGCAGUAGAAUAAAAAGGAGUGUGGGCAUGAAUGAUAUGUAAAAACUCACCCAAUAGAAUCCUUUAUGAAGUAAAUAUUUUCAUAUCAUACGAUCCAAUGUUAAUCCUUCAUAACCUAUGGAACUGUAGAACCUUGAGAGGAAAAAAGCCACUCACAAAUUAUGACACAAACAGAAACUAGGAACAGUGGAAGAAAAUUGAAAAACUGAUCUCCCUUUCCGAGUCCAGCAACAAAAUUAGUGUCCAACCUUAAAAUGGGCAUGUGUGGUAUUGACGAGAGAUGCUAAGAUGGAAAUCAUAACCAUAGUCAUGUUCUCUCUGUGUCUUUGUGUCUUUCUAACCCACUUUUUUUAAGAAAAUAAUAGACCAAGACUAUAAUUAUCAAUUAUGACUUUAUUGUUUAAUUUAUAUUCUUUAACAAUUUUUUUAUUUUUUUAAGAAUAAUUUGUUUUACUAUAAUGGUAGGUGAUGAAUUUAUUUUCUUAAUAAAAGGCCUCCCAAUAAGGCAAUAGUUUCAUGUUUUUUUUUUAUCCUCUGCUUUUGUUGCAACUCUUCUGCUUCCGACCUUUCAUUAACCUAAAUAUUAGAAGUUUCUAAUUCAGUCCAUUGCACUCCAGUUGUCUAAAUACGGAAGCUUCUUCCACGACCCAGUUGCACUUUGGAAAGUUAAGCUUAAGAUUUACGAAGUUUCUGAAAAUUACAGUUUAUUUAGUUUCUAAAAUCCAAUUAGCUAGAUAUUUUAUUUGAUUUCUUUUUAUAUUUAAGUAGUUGAGUUUUGGAAAGUUUUUAUAUUUUAUUAAUAGAAAAAAAAAAUUUAUAUUUUUUAUUAUUAGGAAUUUCUAUUUUGUUAAAUUGUAAGUAUCUAUCUCAAUAAGAGAUUAUUAAUAUUCGAAUGAAAGUGAUGAAAGAUAGUAAAUAUUUUAAUGCUCCUCAAUUAUAUUUUAAUGUUAUUUUUUUACAUGAGGGUUAAUUCAAUUUUAAUUUCAACAUGUAAUAUGUUAAAAAUAUUAUAAAAUAGAACUAUAAAGGAGUAUUUACUUAUUUUAUAAUAUUUUCAAUCUACAAUUUUCAAAAAUCAAUAUUUAAAAAAGGUAUUAAAACAUCCCUUCUCUUCAAUAUAAAAGCAUUAUUGUAACAUAUUGUGGACCCCGCAUUUUGCCCAAUGCGUUCCCACUCGAUGACAAAACUCGCUUUCUAUUUAUUUUGUGAAAAAUAUGAUUUUUUUCAAAAGACUUAGAGUCGCCACUUAUUUUUGUUUUAUUUUUAAAGGAAAAACAAAAUAAGAAAGAAAAACCCUAAAUGUGAUUCCUUAUUUGGAAAAAAUAGGUCUGUGAAAAAUCACGUCGGGUCCGAGGGUCAGGUUACUUAUUGGAAAAGUACGGUGGUGAGCCAUAACACCCCUCUAAGUCCAUAAAAACGGGUCUCUACUAAUAAAAUGAAGCAAACAUGACAAUUGGUAAGGAAAUCAAUGGAUACAAAAGUGAUCACAAAUUAAAAGUAAUCAUGAUAAUGAAUAAAUGAACGAAGUGAGAGCGAGAGUGUACCUUGGCAGCAGGUAAUAAAGCGUUAUUAUGAAACAAAGUUAGUGCACAAUAACAAAUACAAAAUAUAUCACAUGCAUGUCAAAUAUUAGAACAAAAAAAAAAAAAAUAUUCAUUAGGCAUAGCAAUUAACAAUCAGAAGAGAAAUCUCAUAUGUAGGGUCCCCCACCAAAGCCCAAUUUAUCUUGCAUGCAUUGGUCUCACAAAUUUUAUUAUUUCGAAAUUAUGAAAAAUUCAUUCUUACUUAUGAAAAAUCAAAAGAAACAGAAGAUUAUUUGAAAACCGGAGUGGAAUUAAAACUGUUCAAAAUUUGUUUGAAAAUUGGAGUCUCGAAAAUUAUUUGAAAAUUGGAGUCUUGGGAAUUAAAUUUAAGAAUUGGAAUUUUGGAAAUUAAAUUUGAAAGAAAUUGGAAUUUUUUAAAAUUAUUUAAGAAUUAGAGUUUUUAAAAUUAUAUUAAGGAAUUGGAACUUUAGAAAUUAAAUUUGAAAGAAAUUAGCAAAUUAUUUGAGAAUUAGAGUUAUGAAAAUUAAAUUAUGAAAAUUGGAAUCUUGGAAAUUAUUUGAAGAUGGAAAAAAUAAACAAAAUAAUAAUAGUAAUAAUAAAUAAAUAAAUAAAUAAAUGUGAAAAUUGGAAUUUCGGAAAUUGGAAAUUAAAUUCGGAAAUUGAAAAAUUGGAAUUUCAAAAAUUGAGAAUUAAAAUUGAAAAUCAGAAUUUUGAAGAAUUAUUUACAAAUGGAAUUUUAAAAAUAAAUUAAUUAAUUAAAUAAUGAUAAUAACGAAGAUAACAAUGAUUAAAUAAAUAAAUUUGAAAAUUAGAAUUUUGGAAAUUGGAAAUUAAAUUCGAAAAUUAGAAAAUUGGAAUUUAGGAAAUUCGGAAUUGAAUUUGGAAAUCGGAAUUUUGAAGAAUUAUUUAAAAAUAGAAUUUUAAAAAUAAAUUAAAUAAUGAUAAUAACGAAUAUGAUAAUGAUUAAAUAAAUAAAUAUGAAAAUUAGAAUUUUAGAAAUUGGAAAUUAAAUUCGGAAAAUUGUAAUUUAGGAAAUUGGAAAUUGAAUUUGGGAAUCGAAAUUUUGAAGAAUUAUUUAAAGAUGAAAUUUUAAAAAUAAAUAAAUUAAUUAAUUAAAUAAUGAUAAUAACGAAGAUAGCAAUGAUUAAAUAAAUAAAUUUGAAAAUUAGAAUUUUGGAAAUUGGAAAUUAAAUUCGGAAAUUGAAAAAUUGGAAUUUUGGAAAUUGGGAAUUGAAUUUGGAAAUCGGAAUUUUGAAGAAUUAUUUAAAGAUGAAAUUUUUGAAAACUUGAUUUAAAAGGAGAUGGAGUUUCAAAAAUUUAUUUGAAGGUGUCAUUUUAAAAAUUAAAUUUAGAAUUGUGGAAUUUUUGGAAGAUUAAAAUUAAAAUUUUGAAUUUGGGAAAAUUAAAUUUAAAGUUAGAGUUUUAGAAAAUUAUUUCAAGAAUUGAAUUUUGAAGAAUUAAAUUUAAAAUAUUGAAGUUUUGGAAAAUUGAACUUAAGAUCUGAAAUUUCGUAAACUAAAUUUAAAAAUCAAAUUUUACAAGAUUAUUUCGAAAAGGGUACUUAUAUAUAUAUAUAUAUAUAUAUAUUAAUAAAAUAAUAAAUAAAUAGAUAAAUAAAAAUAAAUAAAUAAAGCAAAUAAAAUGAAUGAAUAAAUGAAUAAAUUUGAAACUUUGGGAUUUUAGAAGAAUUAUUUGAUAACAGAAUUUAAAAAAAAAAUGAAAUUUUUAACAUGAAAAGUGGAAUUACGAAGAUGGCACGUGAAAGAAAAGAUAAAAAACUAAUAAUAAUUCACCAUGAGGCCACUGGACCCAUGCCACUAAUAAAAAAAAAACUCAUGCCUUUGACUUUUCAUUCACCAAUUGUUUAAACAAUUUCCUACUGUCAAUGAACCACCAAGAAGUGGAGUAAUGAAGCCCCACUUCUCCACGAAAAAAAAAAAAACACCAGUAUGUAUCUGACUAGUGAUGACAAACUGUGGUGGCGAACAAGGAUAGAAGACGAUGUAGAGUUUGGAAGGCCCCAAAUCACCACUUGGGAGACUUUGAAGAAGGAAUUGAAGGAUCAGUUCCUUCCCACCAACAUUGCUUGGGUGGCCAAAGAAGCGUUGAAAAGGGUCAAACACACCGGAUCUGUAAGGGACUACGUCAAGGAAUUCAGUUCCUUGAUGCUGGACAUAAAGAACAUGUCAGAUGAGGACAAGCUCUUCAAUUUCAUGUCUAGAUUGCAAGGGUGGGCUCAAACGGAACUUAGGAGGCAAGAGAUUCGUGAUCUCCCUGUUGCCAUGGUUGCAGCAGAUUGCCUGGUGGACUACAAGAUGGGUGGCGCCAUCUCCACCAUGUAGAGACCUAAGUCAGAAGGAGGUAAGAAGGCUAAGGUUGAGGGCAAGACUUCUAAGAAAUCUGGGUGGAAGAAACAGAACAAGAAGCCUGUUGUAGAGGGAAAACCAGUGGAAAAGACCAUAAAGUUUGUGCAGCAGACCACCCGGAUGGUAGGAUGUUUCAUCUGCAAUGGCCCUCAUCGAGCCAGAGACUGCCCCAAAAGAAAGAAACUCUCAGCCCUUGUGACUGUAGACGACAAGGGAGAGUCUGACUUAGAGACUCCUCUUAGAGUCAACCCACUGCAACUCCUGAACGUGAUUAAUGGUGAGACUCCAGUCCAUAAGUCCCUAAUGCAUGUCCAUGCAGUUGUAAAUGGUGUGCAGGUGAAGGCCUUGGUGGACAGUAGUGCCACGCACAACUUCGUGGCCACCAGAGAAGCAACCAGGUUGGGAUUGAAGUUGGAAGAGGAUACUAAUUAGAUCAAGGCAGUCAAUAGCAAAGCCCAGAAAAUCCAAGGGGUAGCAAAGAAUGUCCCCAUGCAAAUUAGUGACCGGAAGGGCACAUGCAACCUACUUUGUGUACCCUUGGACGACUUCAACUUGAUCAUCGGUGUAGAUUUCCUCUUGAGGGCUAAGGUGGCCUUGAUCCCACAUCUUGGUGGGCUGGUGGUGUUAGAAGAAAAGCAGUCUUAUUUCAUGAAGGCCUUGAGGGUGAAGGAUGGUGGCAAGGGUUAACAUGAGAUGCUGUCUACUAUCCAUUUGAAGAAGGGAUUGAAGAGGGGUCAGGAGACUUAUGUUACAACCUUGAUCGAGAUCAAGGAGAGAUAGUCUGUGGAAGUCCCUGAUUCAGUGGUCAAAAUCCUUAAGGAGUUCAGAGAUGUGAUGUCUGCAGAACUCCCCAAAGAAAUGCCACCUAGGCGGCCUAUUGACCACAAGAUUGAAUUGCUACCUGGAACAAAGGCCCCGGCUUAAGCUCCUUACAGGAUGCCUCCUGCGGAGUUGUUGGUGUUACGUAAGUAAUUGAAGGAACUGUUGGAUGCAGGCCUGAUCCAGCCCUCAAGGGCCCCAUAUGGUGCACCAAUGAUGUUCCAAAAGAAGCAUGAUGGCUCUCUCCGCAUGUGUGUAGAUUAUAGAGCUCUCAACAAGGUGACCAUCAAGAACAAGUACCCGAUCCCCUUGGCUGCCGAGCUGUUUGACAGAUUGUCAAAAGCCUCUUACUUCACCAAGUUGGACCUAAGAUCGACUACUGGCAAGUGCGAAUUGCAGUAAGAGAUGAGAAGAAUACCACCUGUGUAACUCGGUAUGGAUCAUACGAGUUUCUGGUAAUGCCAUUUNNNNNNNNNNNNNNNNNNNNNNNNNNNNNNNNNNNNNNNNNNNNNNNNNNNNNNNNNNNNNNNNNNNNNNNNNNNNNNNNNNNNNNNNNNNNNNNNNNNNUAAUGCCCCUGCUACAUUCUGCAAUUUGAUGAAUGAUGUUCUGUUUGAUUACUUAGAUGCAUUUGUGGUAGUGUAUCUAGAUGAUAUUGUGGUUUACAGUAAGACUCUAACAGAACAUGAGAAACACUUGAGAUUGGUGUUUCAGAGAUUGAGGGAGAACAUGCUUUAUGUAAAGCCAAAGAAAUGUGAGUUUGCUCAGGAGGAUAUCACAUUUCUAGGACACAAGAUCAGUGCAGGUCUGAUCAAGAUGGAUAAAGGCAAGGUGCAGGCUAUUAUGGAGUGGCCAGUCCUUAGCAAAGUGACUGAGUUGCGGUCCUUCCUUGGCUUGGCCAAUUACUACAGAAGGUUCAUUAAGGGGCAUUCAAAGAGGGUGUCUCCCCUUACUGACCUAUUGAAGAAGGACAACCAGUGGAGUGGAGCAUGUAGUGUCAGAUGGCCUUUGAAGGCUUGAAGGAAGCCAUCUCCACUGAGCUUGUGCUACGUUUGCCAGACUUAGACUUACCCUUUGAAGUCCAGACAAAUGCCUCAAAUAGAGCUUUGGGUGGAGUCUUGGUGCAAGAAGGGCACCCUAUGGCAUUUGAAAGUAGGAAGUUGAAUAAUGUUGAGCAGAGGUACUCCACUCAUGAGAAGGGGAUGAUAAUUGUGGUUCACUGCCUGCAGCAGUGGAGACACUACUUAUUGGGAAGCAUUUUUACAGUGGUCACUGAUAAUGUGGCCAACACCUUCUUCAAAACUCAAAAGAAGCUGAGUCCCAGACAAACACGAUGGUAGGAGUUCCUGGCCAACUUCAAAUUUGAAUGGCUGCAUCGACCAGGAAGACAUAACACUGUGGCUGAUGGCUUCAGUAGGAAAGAGGUGAUUGCCUACAUCAUGGCCCUCUCAGAAGUCAUCUUUGACUUCAAUAAGAAAAUCAAGCAAGUUGCAGAGUAGGAUGCUGCAUAUGGCAGGUUGAAGCGGCAAGUUAAGGAGGGUGUGAUAAGGAGGUAUUGGCUAGAGGGAGACCUCCUUGUGGCAAAAAGAGGAAGAUGGUAUGUUCCUGCAGGCGGCCUGAGAAAUGAAUUAUUGCAGAAAACUCAUGACGCAAAGUGGGCAGGUCAUUCCGGUGAAGAGAAGACUCUGGCACUGCUAGCCAUAUCCUACUAUUGACCUAAGAUGGGUGAGGAUGUCCAGGCAUAUGUGAAAUCCUAUCUGGUUUGUCAGAUGGACAAGACCAAGAUGAAGAAGGUUGUAGGGUUGCUACAACCCCUCUCCAUUCCAGAGAAACCUUAGGAGAGCAUUUCCAUGGAUUUCAUCACUGGAUUUCCAAAGGUUUGUGACUUUAAAUCUAUCUUUGUUGUUGUAGAUAGAUUCUUUAAGUAUGUUGUGUUUAUACCUGCCUCUGAUGCUUGCUCUACGGAGGAAGCGACUAAGUUGUUUUUCAGUAAUGUUGUCAAGCACUUUGGGUUGCCUAGGGACAUAGUCAAUGAUCGAGAUGCACGGUUCAUAGGCCGAUUUUGGGUUGAGUUGUUCAAACUCUUGGGUUCAUAGUUGAAGUUUUCUACAGCCAACUACCCUCAUACUGUCGGUACUCGCACGGAUUCUACCAUUUCCCGGUAUUCGCCGGGAUUUUACGAUUUUUCGUUAUUCGCUCGGAUUCUACCAUUUUCAUUUAGUCACACUGAUUCAACCCUUUUCCGGUACUCGCCCGAACAGUUUUUCGGUACUCGCACGGAUUCUACCAUUUCCCGGUAUUCGUUGGGAUUUUACGAUUUUUCGGUAUUCGCCCGGAUUCUACCAUUUUCAUUCAGUCACACUGAUUCAACCCUUUUCCGAUACUCGCCCGGAGAGUUUUUCGGUAUUCGCACGGAUUCUACCAUUUCCCGGUAUUCGCCGGGAUUUUACGAUUUUUCGGUAUUCGCUCGGAUUCUACCAUUGUCAUUUAGUCACACUGAUUGAACCCUUAUCCGGUACUCGCCUGGAGAGUUUUUCGAUACUCGCACGGAUUCUACCAUUUCCCAGUAUUCGGUUGGAUUUUACGAUUUUUCGGUAUUCGCUCGGAUUCUACCAUUUUCAUUUAGUCACACUGAUUCAACCCUUUUUCGGUACUCGCCCGAACAGUUUUUCAGUAGUCGCACGGAUUCUACCAUUUCCUGGUAUUCGUUGGGAUUUUACGAUUUUUCGGUAUUCGCUCGGAUUCUACCAUUGUCAUUUAGUCACACUGAUUGAACCCUUAUCCGGUACUCGCCUGAAGAGUUUUUCGAUACUCGCACGGAUUCUACCAUUUCCCGGUAUUCGGUUGGAUUUUACNNNNNNNNNNNNNNNNNNNNNNNNNNNNNNNNNNNNNNNNNNNNNNNNNNNNNNNNNNNNNNNNNNNNNNNNNNNNNNNNNNNNNNNNNNNNNNNNNNNNCAUGACGCAAAGUGGGCAGGUCAUUCCGGUGAAGAGAAGACUCUGGCACUGCUAGCCAUAUCCUACUAUUGACCUAAGAUGGGUGAGGAUGUCCAGGCAUAUGUGAAAUCCUAUCUGGUUUGUCAGAUGGACAAGACCAAGAUGAAGAAGGUUGUAGGGUUGCUACAACCCCUCUCCAUUCCAGAGAAACCUUAGGAGAGCAUUUCCAUGGAUUUCAUCACUGGAUUUCCAAAGGUUUGUGACUUUAAAUCUAUCUUUGUUGUUGUAGAUAGAUUCUUUAAGUAUGUUGUGUUUAUACCUGCCUCUGAUGCUUGCUCUACGGAGGAAGCGACUAAGUUGUUUUUCAGUAAUGUUGUCAAGCACUUUGGGUUGCCUAGGGACAUAGUCAAUGAUCGAGAUGCACGGUUCAUAGGCCGAUUUUGGGUUGAGUUGUUCAAACUCUUGGGUUCAUAGUUGAAGUUUUCUACAGCCAACUACCCUCAUACUGAUGGGCAGACUGAGAGAAUCAACGCCUUGCUGGAAGAAUACCUCAAGCAUUAUGUGACAGCAAUACAAAAGAAUUGGGUGGAUUUGUUAGAUACUGCCUAGUUGUGUUAUAAUCUGCAGAGGAGCUCAACAACAAGGAUGAGUCCCUUUGAGCUGGCUAUUGGGGUACAGCCACAGAUGCCUUUGGAGGUAGCUAAGCAAAAAGCAGAAGGAGGUAGUCCUGCAGCUUACAAGAUGGCUCAAUCCCGGCAUGAGAUGUUUGAUGAAGCCCGGGACAGUCUAGAGAAGGCAGUUAGAUGAAUGAAGAAGUAUGCGGAUCAUGACCGCAAAUCCUUGGAAUUUUAGGUUGGGGACAAGGUCCUCUUGAAAUUGACUCAUAAGAUAUGGAAGAAAAUCAGUAGCAAGACAAGGCAGAGGAGUCUAAUUCCUAAGUAUGAUGGACCAUUCGAGGUGAUAAAACGAGUUGGGCAGAUGACCUACAUGUUGAAGCUGCCUGAGAGGCUCAAGCUUCACCUAACUUUCCAUGUUAGCUUUCUAAAUCUUUACCAUGAGGAUCUGGAUGUAGAGAGAGUGCAAAUAAAGCGGGCCCUUCUCUUGGUCAUGAAGCAGUUUGAUCGAGAGAUAGAGAAAAUCUUAAAUCAUAGGACCAUGGGACAUAGCAGAAAGAACCGACGAACUGAUUUCUUGGUUUAGUGGAAGUGGACUUCAAAAGUAGAAGCUACAUGGGAGAGGAAUGUUACCUUAUGGCAAUUUGAGACGGCGGUCCAAACAUAUUGGUAGACUAAGUCGACGAGGGUGUCAACUUCAAUAGGCGGGGGUGGGUUUGUCAGCCCCUUAACCACUUGACUCUACCAUGGAGGAAAAGGCCUCAUGGGUAAACCUUGCACCCAUGAGAGCCUAGACGGAGAAAGCAAGGAAGACUUAGAGGUUUGGUGGUUCAAACUCCAAGAGCUAAGUGAGAAGGCCAUGUGUGAGCUAGACACGCACCGUGGACGAGCCUGACGCACACCGUGCGUGCAUCGCGAGCGAGUCAAACAAGCACCGCGUGCGCAUUAGAUGGGCACCGCGUGCACACUAGAUGGGCAUCGCGCGCGCACCAAUCUUAGGUAGUGCAGAUGAAGGCUGAAGGCUACUUUUGGAAUUUAAUUUAUAUUUAUUUAAUAUUCCAUUAUGUCUCAUCAGGCAUAUUAAUGUCUCCUCCAGAAACAAUGAAAACGACUUGUAUUACUCUUUAGGGGGGGGGGGGGGGGGGGGGGGGGGGGGGGGAGGAGGUAAGCAACUCAAAAAGGGAAGCACCAAGGGAAAGCCUUGACCGCACCAAGAGGGCACCAUGACACGACCUUGGGCGUGCCUAGGACACACGGAUAGGACUCGAGCACGCACACAUGGGCUCCACGACAUGUGUGGUGUGCACCACGUGGCCACAACGGCACGGGGCCUGGUGCGGCCUACCUCCUCCUCGUGUAGGCAUGAGGACGCCUAAACCUUGUGCAGUGAGCCAGUUGAGGAAGUCAUGGGCGCAAUACCAUGGCUUGAUGGGGCAUUAAACAACAAUUGACUAGCACCCAUGAUGCCUACGUACAGCACAAGGGCGCAAUGCCCUGUGCACUAAGAGGGAUCAGUCAUGAACGCAAUGUCAUGGCUCGUUGCUAUGAAGUUGGACCUCACAUUGGAAGCAAGCAACAUGCCCAAGCCAUGGGCACCUAAACAUGACAUGGGCUCACAUAUCAGUGUGGGGAAGACACACUGAUGCACCAGACACUUGGUCAGCUGGUUGGUGCACGUUGCCUAGUUCUGAAGGCCUUGAUCAAAGACACGCUGGUGGGCACCAGGUCAUAAGAGGCACCUUGCGGGAAAGGAGGCAACUUGUUAAGGGGACUCUUCAGCAGCUUGGUGAGAAAGGCUUGAGGAGAUGGCAAUGCAACAAGCUAGUGGCAGCUAGUUGGGAUAGCAAGUGAUCAAGUCAAGCAGCCAAUUGACUUGCAGUUGGCUGAGGUGUUGAUGGCUGGUGCAAGUGGGUGGUUCACGAGCAGGCCACUAUCUGGGUGGUGGGUGGUUAUGCAGGACAGUUAUGGGCGCAUUUGGCCAAUUGCAUAACCACUAGAUUGGCUUCAACUUUUAAAUUUGGUAAUUCAAAAAUGUAACUGCAGAAUGAGUCUUUUAAAAGGGCUCCUGCAUCCUUGAAAUAGAGAGUGAGAGAUUGGGAUAGGGUUCUCUUAAUGCUUGGGGUGUGAAGUAUUGUACUAUGACUCAGGGGAAACAAUUUUGUCUUGUAGAGUGAAUUAAUACAAGUUGGGAAAGGUUUCCUGUAAAUCGUUGGUGUCCCUGUUACUGUGCUUUUACUUUGCUUUUACUCUAUUUUUGAAAAGGCUGGGAAGGAAGGUUGGCUAAGGAAGGGUCCUUAGCACCGCACACUCGUGAAAAAUUUAGUGUGAUCUUCAGGGGGGUGUAACAGUGAGUAUAGUGUCGGGUUUGAGCAUCUCCAAGCAUUUCAAUAUGGUUCAAAUGGCUCUCAAACAUCCAGAAAUUCCCAACAGUAUGAAAAAUGGCUCUCAUGGUGCUCUCCCAGAAACACCUCCACCCAAGAUGGCCAACCUCAAACGUAAUGCCCAACACUCUAAAAUAUACCAAAAGCAGAGGAGAAAGUAAACAAAAGCAAAGCAUGCACAAACGUAAAUGAUACCGUUAAACCUAGCUCCAUUUCAUAAAGAUCAAUGGGCUGGAUAUAGGCGGAACCAAAAGAAAGCAAGAACGUGAUCUUCAAAACCUUAUUCAAGCAUCAAGAUGAACCCAAAAUUGGCGGGAAAUGAAAUAGAACAAACCGAAAUGGGAAAUGCAAAGCAUGCUAAAAUCAUACCUGACCAAAACGACAGGCUUUUCCUCUGCUCAAACUCGGAAUGUCCCUUUCUCCUAUCUUUCUUAGCUAGCUCUGCUACCCUUCCUCCAUGUCUCCUAUCAGCUGGGUUUUUCUUAUUUUCUCAGCCCGCUUCAUAACCACCAGAAAAACGAAAAAAAAUCUCUUCUUACCUCCUUCCAGCUUACUUCUCCUCCAAGCUAUAUCCAUAUCCCAUCUCAUUUGGCAACCCAAUAGCUCACCCAUCAGUCCUCUUUGGCUGCCCCAAAAACAGCUCACUUCUAAGGUAGUCAGAAAAAGAAAAAAAGAAGAAAGAAGGAAAAAAAAAAUGCUUCCAUCCGAGGGGGUCUACACAUAUACAUUUUGUUCUAAUUUUCUAAUAGUUGUGCACAGUUGAAGGGAAAACAAUUUGAUUUUCUAAUUAAUAUUACUUUUAUAAAUACUUUAAUUACUUUUAUAAAAUUGAUUCAUAAUGAUUUUAUUAUUUCUUUGGAACUCAUAAAAUAAAUCUAAUUACGACAGAAAAAGAAAAAGAGAAAAGUGAGUUUUGAUCACUAAUUUGAAAAAUACAAAAAUAAAAAACUUCAGCUUUUAUAAAUCAUUUGUAUCUUCAUUUAUUUAAAAUUAUUUUAAAAUACAUGCACUUUUUUAUAACUCAAAUAAUUAUUUCCUAAAAUGACCUUAUUAUUUAUGAUGUUAAUAAUAUCAUUUUUUUUUAACCAUGAGAACCUAUUUGAGAUUAAUAAAAUGAGAAAUUUUAAAAAUUUUAAAUACAAUUAAAACUAAAAAAACUUUAAAGUUAAAAAUAUAAAAAUAAAAUAUUAUAUUUUUUUAUUAUAUUUUUGGUUUUUAAUUGUAUUUAAUUUUUAUGUAUUUUAGUUUUAAUUAUAUUUUUAAAUUUUAUAAAUUUCUUAUGUUAUCCUUAAUUGAUGUCAACUAAUAAAAUUUAUAUUCAAUUUUAUUUAUUUUUUUUAAAUGAGAAGAUGUGGGGGUUUAUCUAAUACAAAACAUAAAAUCAUAUUAACUAGGGGAUUAACAAGAUUUUAUUUAUUACUUGAUGAUGUUGGAAAAUUUUUCCACGAUGAUUUGUAUCUUAUGUUAUAUAAUAAAAUUUUAUAAUAUAUUUAUUUAUAAAAUAUUUUUAUCAAAUUAAAAUAAUAAAUUUGGAUAAAUUCAUUUAAUAUUAUCAAAUAAAAAUGUAUUUUAGGAAAUAAUUAUUUAACUUAUGAAAAAGUGUAUAUAUUUUAAAAAAAAUUAAAUGGAUAAAGAUAAAAUUGAUUUAUAAAAUUUAAUUUUUUUUUUCUAUAUUUUUUCAAAUUAGGUUAAAACCCACUUUUUCUCAAAAAAAUAAUAGACCAAAUCUAUAAUUAUCAAUUACAAACCUACAAUUAUCAAUUAUGACUUUAUUGUUUAAUUUAUAUUCUUUAACGAAUUUUUAAAAUUUUUAAGAAUAAUUUGUAAUUCAAAAAAUUGGUCCAUUUAAUUACAAAUUAAAUAAAAAAUUCCAUAAUAUGUUGUUAUCCUUGUAUGUAAUAAAAAACUCGGAUUAUUUAUAUGUUAUAAAAGUUAAAAUUUAUUUAUUUUUAAAUUAAUUUUAUAUAAAAUAUUAUUAAUUGUUAUUAUUUUUAAACAAUUAUUAUUCAUUUUUUAAAAAAAAUAAUUAUACUUUUACAAAAAUAUUAAUAUCCAUAUUUUUAUAAUAUAUAUUAAAAUAGUAUAUUUUUAUGAAAAAAAAAAUAAUUUUAUGACUUUAUUAUAAUAUUACUAUUCAUAUUUCACUAAAUUUAAUUUAUUUGUAACAACAAAAAAAACUAUUUUCAUUUUUAAUAAAACUUAAAUUAAAUCUAAUUAAUAUGGUAUAAAUAGAAUUUAUAACAUUUUUACAAAAUCAAAAUAGAAAAAAAAAAUUAAACCAAUUUAUUCAAAUAAACUUGUUUUUUCUUUUUUCUAAAUAUUUUUAAAAACAAUUUAUCUAAUACUCUUAUUUUUAUAAAAUAUUAAAAUAACAAUUUUUUUAUUUAAAAAAAAACAUGAAAAAAGCAUGGUCACAACAAACCUAAAAAUAAUUAUGAUUCUAUGUACUUUUUCAUUAAAUGUGCUAUUUUUUACCAUUCACGUGUUAUGCCUUACUGAUGUAGAUCAAAGUUACGCAUAAGAUUAAAAAUGAUUUUUGUACUGUUGCUAUUUUGACGGGUUUUUUUUUUUUCAAAUGAAACAUGCUUUUUGCCCUUUUUGCCCCCACUCUGAUUGAGGGUUUGGUUUAUUUCACUAGCACGGAGCCCUCUCCAUCUGCCAGCCUACCUGACAACUCUGAACCGCUCUUUAAGUCUUUGUUUUUCCUCUUUCAUCAAUGACACAAAUAACUCUCACAUCAGGCGUUUUAAUCUAUUACUGCCACAGGCCCACAAGCAUCAGACAAGGUAUUAAUAGAGGCUUCUCUUUGAUACACCUCAAUAACCAUCCAUGUAAGAUAUGUAUAUUAAACACUAUGAUUCAAUACAUUAUUAUAUACAAACCAGAUGAACCCAGUUACCCACAACCUAGCUUAUUAUAAUUUUUUUAUUUGAAUUAAAUUAAAUGAUUUCAUAAUAAUACUUUUUUUUAUUUUGAAAUAAUAGGUGUUGUGCAAUUUGUUUUACUUUAUUGGUAGGUUAUGAAUUAUUAUUAUUAAUAGUAAUAGUAAUAUAAUUCAAUUAAUAUUUUGUAGGAUACUCAAAAGCUUUAUAUGCACGUAACAAAAUAAAAAGACUUACGAAGACUUAAAAUUAAUGUAAUAUCUAUUCAAUUUACAUAAAUAAGUAUGAUUGUGUGAAAAAGGAGAUAAAUGAAAAAGGUAAAGAAGGUGAACAAUAAUAAAUUUGAAGGAUAUGGGAAAUAUUUGGUUAAAUUAAUAAAGAUAAAAUUGAUUCAUAAAAUUUAAGUUUUUUUUUUUAUAUUUUUUUAAAUUAGUGGGUCAAAACCCACUUUUUCUCAAAAAAUAAUAGAUCAAAACUAUAAUUAUCAAUUAUAACUUUAUUGUUUAAUUUAUAUUCUUUAACAAAUUUUUAAAAUUUUUAAGAAUAAUUUGUAAUUCAAAAAAUUGGUCCAUUUAAUUACAAAUUAAAUCAAAAUUUCCAUAAUAUGUUGUUGUCGUCGCAUGUAAUAAAAAGCUCGGAUUAUUUUAUAUGUUAUAAAAGUUAAAAUUUAUUUAUUUUUAAAUUAAAUUUAUAUAAAAUAUUAUUAAUUAUUAUUAUUUUUGAGCAAUUAUUAUUCCUUUUUAACAAAAAAUAUAUAUUUUUACAAAAAUAUUAAUAUCCAUAUUUUUAAAAUAUAUAUUAAAAUAGUAUAUGUUUUUAUGAAAAAUAUAAUUUUAUGACUUUAUUGUAAUAUUAUUAUUCAUAUUUUACUAAACACUAUUUAUGUUAAUUUAUUUGUUAUAACAAAAACUAUUUUCAUCUUUAAUAAAACUUAAAUUAAAUCUAAUUAAUAUGGUAUAAAUUGAAUUUAUAACAUUUUUACAAAAUCAAAAUAGAAAAAAAAAAUUAAAACCAAUUUAUUCAAAUAAACCUUUUUUCUUUUUUCUAAAUAUUUUUAAAAACAAUUUAUCUAACACUUAUUUUUAUAAAAUUUUAAAAAAACAAACAUGAAAAGAACAUGGUCACAACAAACCUAAAAUAAUGACGAGUCUGAACCGCUCUUUAAGUCUUUGUUUUUAUUUCACUCAGACGGAGCCCUCUCCAUUUGCCAGCCAGCCUGACAAGUCUGAACCGCUCUUUAAGUCUUUGUUUUUCCUCUUUCAUUAAUGACAAAAAUAACUCUCAUAUCAGGCGUUUUAAUCUAUUACUGCCACAAGCAUCAGACAAGGUAUUAUUAGAGGCUUCUCUUUGAUACACCUCAACAACCAUCCAUGUAAGAUAUGUAUAUUAAACACUAUGAUUCAAUACAUUAUUAUAUACAAACCAGAUGAACCCAGUUACCCACAACCUAGCUUAUUAUAAUUUUUUUUAUUUGAAUUAAAUUAAAAGAUUUCAUAAUAAUACUUUUUUUUUUUUUUUUGAAAUAAUAGGUGCUGUGCAAUUUGUUUUACUUUAUUGCUAGGUUAUGAAUUAUUAUUAUUAGUAGUAAUAGUAAUAUAAUUCAAUUAACAUUUUGUAGGAUACUCAAAAGGUUUAUAUGCGACAUAACGGAAUAAAAAGACUUACGAAGACUUAAAAUUAAUGUAAUAUCUAUUCAAUUUAUAUAGAUAAGUAUGAUUGUGUGAAAAAAGAGAUAAAUGAAAAAGGUAAAGAAGGUGAAAAAUAAUAAAUUUGAAGGAUAUGGGAAAUAUUUGGUUAAAUUUCAAACUAAUGGUAAAUAAGUAUUUUUAACCUCUAUACAGGGGGAAGUGAGUAAAAUUAUUGAAUGUAGCCAAAAAUAUAAAUAAGGUACUAGAGGCUUCUAAAUAAACGUGGAUAUGAGAAAAGGUAUAUUUAUAAAAAUUAAAUAAAAUUGUUGAAGAAACUAUUAAACUAUAAUCUAAUGCUUUACAAUCUUGUAUAAUGAGAUUAACCUAAAUUAUUAACGAAAUAUCUUAUUAUAUUUUUUAUUUAAAUUAAAUCAAAAAAAUUUGAUAAUAAUGAUUUCAUUUUUAUCUUAGGAGUAAUAGGUGUUCCUUGUGUUCUUUUGUGAUCUCUUGUGUCUAUAAUUAUAUUACUUUUUCUCACACACUCUCUUACUUGGUUAUUUGUUUGUCUUAUGUGUGCAUAUCAUAGGAUUGUUCAUUGGUGGAUGUUGUAUGGUAAUUGUAAUUUGUGCGAUUAAGGAUGAUGUUUAGUUUAGAUGAAUGUCCUUGACAAAUUUGUAAACUCCAUUUGAGAAUUUUAGGGGUUUAUGUAAUUUAUAUUUUGUCACAAGAUUGUCAAAAGGGGGAAAUUGUUAAUUAGUGCAUUAGGCUACUUAGUUUAAAUUAAAAAUUUUGUUCAAUCCAUCUUCACUUACAGACUUUUUUAGAUUAUUAUGUUUUACUAUUUAUUAAAAACUUAAGGUUAUUGCAUGAUCAAUUGGAAUAAUAUAAGUAUAGAGAUGUUCAAGAAAAGUUAAUUGGAAUCAAUUAUAGCAUGAAAUGAAUGUUAGGCUUUAAGCUAGUGAAAAAGGUUUUAAAAUUAAUUUGAAACUACUCAUGAGCCCGAGCUCAAGCAUCACUUUUAGUGUUCAAGCCAAAAUUCUAUAGGAUACUGAAUUUUUUUUUUUUGUCAUAUUUUUAGAGGUUUAUUGAAACAAAAAUUUAAAUUUCAUCUCUUGUUUAUUAUUUAAUACAAACUUUGAAAAUAAUUUAAGUAUUAGUUUUCCCACAUUCUAAACUCUUAAAAGUUCUCAUUCUUAGAUUUAUAAGAGAGAUUUGCAUCGCGAGAUGUACACUAAGGUCACAAUCAAGAUUUACAAACUAUUCGCGUUGCAUGAUUUGUUUUACUGUAAUGGUAGGUGAUGAAUUUAUUUUAGUUCACAUGUGAAAAUGAUGGGGCUAUAAAGAAAAAGAUACAAGUUAAAGUCCGACAAUUUUUUUUUAAUUGAGAUUCAUUUAUUUAUUUUUAAUUGAGAAAAAUAAAAUAUUAAUAUUAUUAGAAACUUUAUUUAUCAAUUUUUUUACUAUACAAUUUUCAUACAUCUAAUAUGUGAACUUUUUAAUAUCAUGGCAAAAGUGAAAAACAAAAAUAAAAUAUUUAAAAAAGAUUGAUCAAAUUACCAAACCAUCUUAUACUUAAAAAUAAGGCACUUAAAAAGACAAAUGACUCUUAGAAAGAGAAUUUGUAUUUUCAUCAAUUUAAGUUCUUUAUAUAUCUAUUUUAUUUGCACACUUACCUAAUUAUUUACAAUAUACUUCAAAUAAAUUUUAUUAUAUACCUUCUUUCACCUUCUUUCCUUGUUUUUUUUUUCUUUGGCAAAAAUAUUCUUCUCUCCAACUUUUUUGUUAUAAAAACAAAAUAAUAUUUGAGAUUAGUGUAAAGCUGAUUGUAAUAUUUUAAAUGUAUUUUUUAAUUGAAGUACUCAAUUAUAUUAGGUUUAUUUCAUAUAAAUAUAUUUUGAGUUUAUUAUUUAUAUAAUUUUUUUAUUAAUAUUUGUUAGAAAAAUAAUUAAUACUUAUUAAAGUUUUUUAAAGGCAACACUUACUAUUUUUUUUUUAAGAAAUACCGACCCUAAACUAAAAAGGGUAUAAUUGAAAUUCAUAAGGGAUCAAAAUUUCAAUUACAAAUUUGAUGACCGUUUUGAAUACUUGUCAACUAAUUUUAACUAUUUUGGAUAAUUUUUCCAUCGCCAAAUUGAAAGAAAGGCAAAUAAUUACAGAGAUUCGAAUGGAUCUCUAUUUGAAAUGCCCGCUUGCCCGCCCUUCAUUUAAGGACCUUUGGUUGGUUUUUCUAUGGGUGACGGGGGAAGAGAGAAACAAGAAACCAAAGGAGGAGGGUAGCUCAUUUUGGGUCUUGCCAGUUUUUGGAGAAGGAUAGCUUACUCGAAGCCGCUUCAAGCAAUACUACUUUGGCGGACCUUUUCAGGUAUGGCAGCUGUAAGCUUCUUUUUAUUUUUUAUUUUUUAUUUAUUUGCUCCAUUUUCUGCUGAUUUUCUGAUCGAUGUGGAAAUCAAGGCUUAAAUGAUUGUUUUGCUGAAUCUGAAUUUGUUUUCAUACUAAACUCUGUUUUGAUUUUAUACUGAUCCCUUUUAUUUUUCCUGUAAAUAACUACCGUAUGGAUUGUUCUUGAGUUGGAUACUUGAUAAUCAUGCCACUGCUCUAUGCUUAUCCCACUUACGUUCAAUCCCAUGGAUAACACAAUGAAAUGUAAGAUAUGGUAUAUUUAUCAAAAUCAACAAUGAGUGCCCCUAGCAUCAGACACGGUAUUAAUAGAGGCUUCUAUUUGAUAUACCUAUCCAUCCAUGUAAGAUAUGGUAUAUUUAUCAAAAUCAAAUAAAAUUCUGUGUGAAACUAUUAAACACUAUGAUUUAAUACAUUAUAGUUAUGUACAAGCCAGAUCAGCCCAGUCACCCACCACGUAGCUUAUCUUUUUUAAUUUGAAUUAAAUUAAACUACUAAAUGCAAUAUAUUUUGAGAUAUUUCUAAAAUCUGUUUGAGAGUAUUAGAGGUUUGUGUAAUAUAUUUAGUAACAAAACUUCCAAAUGAGGGUUAUUUAGUUUAAAUUGAUAAUUAUGUUCUGUUUAGGACUUUUUUAGAUUAUUAUACCUUACUUUUUAUUGAAGAUUUAAAGUUGUUGUAUAAUCAUGAAAUGGAUGUUAAGCUUUACGGAAAAUUGAUUUUAAACUAUGUAGGAGCCAACGUUCAAGCAGUACCCCCGAUGCUCAAACCAGAGUUUUAUAAAUUCUGAAAAUUUUCUUGUUCGACAUUUAUUGAGAGUGUUUUCUUUUUAAAAAAUUUUAGAUUUCAUUCUCUAGUUUUCACUCUUGAAUGCAAACUUUGAAAGAAAAAUCUAGGUAUUGGUUUUCCCACUUACCAAACUUUUAGAAGUUUGUUUUUUGAUUCCUAGGUUUGUGAGAGUGAUUUGUAUCCCCUUUGAUAUUGAGGUUGUCCAAUGGGUGCACAUGUGGUGAUAUGUGAUGAAAAAUUAGUAUAAGUAUCAAGAGAGUAAGAUUUAUGAAUAACUUUUAUCAUGUGAAUAUGUAUACCAGUUGUUUUAUAAUGAAUUUGUGUUUUGUGAUUUCUGGUAGUUUUUCCAUUUGAAUAUUCUUGUUGAUAACUGUAGGAUGAUUUUCAGGUAAACAUAAUUAUAUCUCCUGUUAUUGACCCUUUUUUACAUUCCUCAAUUAUUAGAGAGGAAUUAAAAACAAAUAUUUUGGGCUAAAGCGAAAUAAAUGCUCUAAAAAAUAUUAGUGUUGCACAAUUUAUUUUACUAUAAUGGUAGGUGAUUAAUUUGACAAAUAUAAUAUAGGAAAGCAAUGUCACAUCCCAUUCAAAUUUUGAAAAAGGCCUAAAGUAAAUUAUAGAAAUUACAUGCUGAAAUACAAGAUUUAUGGAUUGAAGUUUCUACAGAGAUAUGUGGGGUAGCACUCUGUCUAGAUAUCUCAUUCUCGUACUAACAAUGACUGUAGAGAUCGAGAUGGACCAUUUCGUGGUGCCGCAGGAAGUAGUUGCUGAUCAGGUUGUAAAUCCUGCGGAUGGCGGUAGGCAUAUUAGAACCUUGGCCAACUUAAAAUCCGAAAUUUGUCGAACACGAGACGACACUCCAUCAGAAAAAAAUGCAAAGCUAGAAUGUCCCAAGGUUCCAAAGUCGUUGUUGCCAUCAGAUGCCAUGGGUUCUGAGUCUGACGGCCACCGCAAUGAGCCAAAAAUCAUGUCUUUGGGUCCUUACCACCAUGGCAAUCCCAAGCUCGCGCGUGGAGAAAUAAUCAAGCUUAAUUUGGCAGAACAUGCCUUUUUAUUAUUUUCGAUGUCGGAAUCAAUCUCAAUAGAGGAGGUCGAUGAAUUGUACGGCGAAAUUAGCGGUCAAGUCCAAUCGCUGAGGAGCUGUUAUGAUGCGAAGUCGACGGAGAAUUAUUCGGAUGAAGAAUUCAGUGUGAUGAUGAUGGUGGACGGGUGUGCUUUACUGUAUUAUAUGUUUCAUGCUUGCUAUGGUGAUGAACAUGACCAAGAAAAUUCCGGUAUCAGAUAUCAGGAUCUAAGGCAUCUGCAGCGGGACGCGUUGCUGCUGGAGAACCAACUUCCCUAUAAAUUACUCCUGGAACUGGGCGAAAAGGUUCCAGGAUAUGACACUAGUGAGUGGAUGGCACUAUGCUUGGAAUUCGUUGGAGUGAUUGGGGAGGAGGAGGAGGAGGAGGCGUACUCAUUCCCGCAAAAAAUGAGGAAAUUUUGCUCCGGCCCGUUCGGCCAAAUUAUUGGCCGGAGUCUGAUGAAGAGUCGGUUAUAAACCUUAAGCCUCUUCAUCUCCUCGAUCUGUACUUAAAUAAUUGGCUAGGAGCCAAACGUCCUAGCCAAAAAAAAAGCGGCGGUGGGGAAUCAGUUAGAUAUGUGAAGGAGAAGGUUAUGGCAUCAUUUAGAAAUGUGAAGGAGCUUAUGGCCGCUGGAAUCCGCAUCAAGCCUAGCCCUACGCGUUACUUGAGGGACAUUUCUUUCACUUCAAAUGUCAUCACUGGAUGCCUCAGACUUCCUAUCAUCACUAUUGAUAACUCAACCAAGGAUUUGUUCUUUAACUUGAUAGCCUGGGAAAGGUGCUCAAGUCGUCGCCAUGACAGUCAUGACUUCAUCUCUUACCUUUGCUUCCUUGAUUCCCUCAUUGAUCAUGCUGAUGACGUUAAGGAGCUGCAGUCAGCCGGGGUACUCCAAAACAAUCUAGGCACGCAUGAACAAGUGGCUGAAUUUUUCAACACUCUGUCCGCCAAGUUUGAAUCAAACUUUCAUGCUUACAGAGAUGUGAGAGUCAAAAUUCGGAAGCACCUUAAAAGUCACCGUAACAGCAAACUGAAAAGGUGGAUGACACAAUGCCUGGACACCUACUUCGGUAGCCCCUGGACUAUCAAAGCUUGGGUUGGUGCUGCUUUGGUCCUUUUCUUUACUGCCGUCCAGACUUAUUUCACAGCCUUCUCUCAUUGAUGCAUUCAUGGCCUGCUUUCUCGCUAUCUAUUGAGUGCUUCUGCAUUUUACCUAGCCUAAAUUCAUGGACUCCAUAUAACCCUUUGAUGUGCAAAGUAAAUUAGGCAAAGAGUCAUUGGUCCCGUUUCUUUGCCAUUUCAGCCUAUUUUCUACCGUCCUUUCCGGGUUUAAAACAAGUAAAAAAAUAAAUGUAUGCUGUGAUCUUAUUUUGGUGUAUUUUGUGCUUAUGUACGCAUAAGUAAUAUUAUGUUUGAUUUAAGUAACUAAAAAUAGACAUGGGUGGACUGUUUUCUUUUUAUGUUUGGAUGCCUAUUAAUGGAUUAUAUUAGGUUGGCAAUUUUAUUUUAUUGAUGUUGUACUCCAUGUAACUUAUUUCCUCGGAUCUUAAUGGUUGGGAUCGGGCAAGUGUUUGAAGAAGUAAGAUAAAGAAAUGAAAACUUCAGAAAAGAAAAAAAAAAAAAGAACCGAAACAAAACAAUGUGAAAAAUGGAGAAAAACCAGACAGGAAUGCAGGAAAUUUUAAUAGAUGAAAGUCAUUUAUUCAUUUUUAAUUGAGAAAAAUAAAAUAUUAAUAUUUUUAUUAGAAAUUUAUUUAUCAAUUCUCUAUUAUAAAAUUUUCUUGGAUUUCAUGGAAAAUAUAUUAAAGAAAUUGACAUUAGCUGCCGGGAACUUAUCUAAAAUUCCUUUUUUUUUUGUGACAAAGAAGCUUCUGAGGAAAGGAUUUUUUUCAAAAGAAAAAUAAAGGAGGGAAGAAGGUAGGUGGUAUGGAAUAGAAGAAUGGAGAAUGGUAUGAAUGUAUUGAUACGAUUUUUAUCUUCUUGGUUGAUUGUGUAAAUAAGAUGGCUGCGUCACAGAAUUUCACGAGUAAGGGAGUAGUAUUUUUUGGAGAAGAAGAGUUUAGUAAUUUAAUUAUUUUUUAUUUAAAUAUUUUAUUUUCUUUCCAGUUUUAAAGAUGAUAUUGGAAAGUUUGACUCGGUAAUAUUAGGUUUAUAUUUGUUCAGAAUAUGUUUAGGGUUUACAACUCAUAAUUUUUGGCAAACAUUUGUCACAACAAUAAUUAGGAAACUUUUAAGAUGUAUUUAGAAGUGAAAAGUGUUUUAAAAAGUGGAAAAAUCUCCAAUAAAAGCAAGAUUGUGUUAUCUAGCUUGAUUUUUUUGUUCUUUGCUUUUCUCUGCUUUUGUUGCAGCUCUUCUGACCAAAAUACUAAUAGUUUCUAUUAAGCAAAAUAAUAAAACAGACACAAGAUGUAGAAUGACAGCACAUGAUAAGAAUCCAUUUUCAUUAAUAUUUAUAUAAAUAAAAAAUUAAUCAAAGAUUAAUAAUAUUUUAUUCUCCUAUUUUAGAAAAUAAUAUUUAUUUUAGAUAAAUCAAGAGCUAUUAAAAAUAUUUUAUUCUCUUAAUUUAGGAAAUGACAUUUGUUUCCUUAAUUUUAAGAUAUUUAUUCUUUCAUUCUUUCUAUAAUUCACAAUGUAUCGUUGUAUAAUUUUUUAAAAAGAAACAAUAAAAAAAUCGUUUUCAUUAGGAAGAAGCUCAAACUUGAGUCCUCUCCAAGAGUGGUCAAAUGCCAGAAAAGGAGUGGUUGAAUAAUAUAGUCAUGAUCAAAAUGGUUGAGAAGACGCAUAUUUCAAAUUGAGGGGUAGAGGCUUCACCCUUUCUAUGUGUUACAAUUCUUACAAAAAAAAUUCUUUUAUGUUUUUAUCGAAUCUCUAUCAAAAAAUGAUGUCUUCACCAUGUUUAAGAGUAAUCAAAUAUUAAUAAUAUUUUAUUUUCCUAAUUUAAGAAAUAAUAUUUAUUUUAAAUAAAUCAAGAGCAAUCAAAUAUUAAUAAUAUUGGGUUAAAUACACUUUACCUUCUCAACCAAUGGUAGUUCUUUUUUUCCCGCACUGUUUUGCUUCAUUUUUGUCUUUGAUAGCUAAGAAAAUUUCUAGACAAAGAAUAAAUAUUAAGUGAUGAGGUGUUUAUAUCGGUUAGGGUUUUCUUUUGAUAGUUGAAAAAAUUUUGGGAAAAAGUUUAAAUUUUAGGUGUUUAGGGUUAAGGUUUUCUUUCCAUAGUUGAGAAAUUUUAUGAAAAAAAACAGAUUUAGGUGUUUAGGUUUCCUUUUCAUAGGUGUUUAUUUAUAGUCAAUUUAGCUUUCUUAUGACAUUUUUUUUUUGUUUCUUUUCAUCAACAUUGCAUCUAUAUAUUUAUCUAAUAUGAAUUUUAUAUUAUAUGUUUGCAAAUAAACCACCUAACUAUUUUACCAUCAAUUAUGAAGGGCGAUUUAGGGGUGAUAUGAGACAUGUAUUUAAGAAUAGUGAUUAUUUGGGUGGAAAAGUGGAUUAUGUUGAUAAUUGUGACAAUAAUGUAAUGUUUUUGAUUGAGUUGGAUCAUAUAUUGUUUUUAUUAAGAUAUAAAUAUUGCAUUGAAUAUUUCUAUGCUAAUAAGAAAGUGAGAAAAUAAAAGCUAAACCUUAAUAGAAAAAACACCCAAGGGGGAGGGAGGUGAAUUGGGGUUUAAAUUUUUUGUUUUUAAGCACAAUGAAUUCAUGUAAAGGAAUCACAAAUAUAAAGAAAUAAGGAUAAAAAAAACUUAGAUUUUAUAGUGGUUCGGCACCCUUUACUUAUGUCAACUCUCCUCAAGUUCCUAAUCGAGUGAAGGUUCCAUUAUACUUGAAGCUUCAACCAAGCGUCCAACCUUUCAGACCUAGAUUUUGGCUCUAAUGAGUUAUUACACAAUUCGUUCAAAUUUCUACUCACUUGAAGCUUCUAACACUCAAAUAAGAAGUUUAAAUCUGUCAACUAAGCUCAAUAAGAGAUCAAAUACAACUAAAAUACUAGGAUAAAUAACAAUGGUGCACUAAAAGAAUAUGCAACCGAGGAUUUUAAUGCAUCAAGGAGAGAAUGAGAGCUUUUGAAUCAAGAACUGGUAAUUAAACAAAUAAAUGUAGGUGUUCUUAUCUUCGUUAAUGAAAGAAAGCUCCCAAUUUAUAGGUUUCUAGCCUUGGGAGCCAAAAUAUCAAAAAAUAGCCUCGACUGGUCAAGCUAUAGGUCGAGCGGUUGACUAGCCAUUGGGCAAUUAAUGCAUGACCGGUGACUAAUAGGCCUCAACUAGACCUUGAUCGGGCCAUGACUGGGAAGGCAUACCCCUCGAUUAGGAAUGCAACACUACUAGAAGAGAGAGAAGAUUUUUUACAUCUCUCGAUCGAUCCUCGACCGGGAAGACAUAAACGGUCGAUCGGUACUUUAACCGAUUGAUCAGUGCCUUGACCAGUUUACCUUUUUUGGCCUAAAAAUCUGUCAUUUUUUUUUGUUGUUUUUGCUUUUAACACCUAGGUAAGGUCUCUAGUCACCGAGUAUGUCAAUUUUCAAACAAUUUGCUUAAGGUUCAUUUGAUAAAACUCGGAUUUUAAUCAAAUGUGUCUUUAAUGCACUUAGGAUAUGGAAAUCCUAAGUGUACCCAUGUAUUCAACUUACAAACGGUUCCUAAGAUUAAAAUAUCUUCUUUGUGCCUUGAUCUUGAAUCUAUUGGAUCCUUUGAUGAAUUUCUCGGAUCUUGAUCUUGAAUCUUGAAUCUAAAUAGACAGGACUAAGGUGGUGUUUGUUUUUUUUACUUAAUUCUAAAUAGAACCUUAAUACUUAAUAGCAUUAAAUAUUAGGUUAUUUGUUUUUAUAGUAUUUUAUUUCUAUUAAGUAUUAAAAAGUAAAAAAAAAAAACCAAUAUGUUAUUUUUUUUAUUUAGAAAAAGUUACAUAUUUUGGCUUUUUUUAUUUAGUAAAAAGUUUAUAAUAAGUCAUGAAAAAAUAAAAAAACAAACAACCUAAAUUCUAAAACUAAAUUGCUUUCAGCAAAAAGCCAAAAAAACAAACACCACUUAAGCCUCUUUGUUGUCAUUUUUUUCAACCUUGGUGCCAAUCAUAUGUCCGGUAUUAAUUUACUCAUGAUGUGAUCUUGAUUCAUUGAUUACGAUAUAGUUUAUUUGUGGUAGAAUUUUGGGAAAAUUAAUAUAAAAAAUAUCUAAGAAAUGAAUUUGAUGAUCAAAUAAUCCAAGAAAAAAAGCAUCAAAUUUAUGAUAUGUAUAAUGAAAGAUGCAUUUAAGUAAAUUAAUAAGCUCGAACCCUUCCCAAAACCAAGGAGACACGCAUUAGCCUAUUUUAUGUGCUUCACUUGCUGUAUAUUAGUAGGUGUAUGAAUAGAUUAAUCUUUCUGAAGAGAAAAAAGAAGAAGAAGAAGACUUGAGUGCUCCUUUUUAAAUGUUAAAUGACCUUCCCUUUGGAUAUCAUUAUAUCAACAUGGACUAGCUGGCAGCAGCCUGUUGCCUACUCGAUUGGAAUUAUGGAGCUUGCAUGCAAUGAGCUGGUGAUUCAUAUUUCACAGGUGGGAUGUAACUUUUUUCUUUUUUUAAUAAAUGAUAAGAAUAUCUCACAUAUAAAAUAAAAAGAGAAAAUUAACCUAUACGUGGAAACUAUUCUCAAUAAUAAUUUUUUGUUUUUUAAACAUAAAAAAAUAUGAAAACUCAGUUGCCUGUAAUUAUUUCCAAAAUAGGUUGUAAUAAUACCUUUUAAUUAUUUUUGGUUAAUUUUAUUUAUUAUUUGGAGCUAUUUUUAAAUGUAAUUUUAGAAAUAUGAAAAAUGAUUGAAAUUUAUAAAAGGGUACAUAAAAGAAUAUUUUGAAAACAUACAAUAUUCAAAAUUACCAAAGAAGCUUUUAUUAUACCAUAGUAAAAUUAUUUUUGAUAAUUAAUCUCAAAAACCAUCUUUUUAUAACUAUUUUGAAAAGUAUUCUCUAACAAACCUUAUGCUUUUAGGGAGGAAUGGUAAUAUUUUAAUAAAAAUUAUAAAAUAUGAAUAUUAAUAUUUUAGUAAAGUUAUAAAUUAUAUUUUUUUUUGUUAAAAACAAAUAAAUUUUUUUAGAAAAUGAUAAUAGUUAAUAAUAUCUUAUUUAAACUGAAUUAUGAAAAUAAGUAUAAUUUAUUUUUCAAAAUAUGCAAUAAAUGAAUCAAGUUUUGAUCACGUACACAUAUUCAUUCCCUAAUUACAAGUAUUCUGAACCAGUUUAGUCCCACAAAAAUUUUAUAAUAAUUAGCAUAAUUUUUUAGUUUUAAUUUAUUUUUAAAAUAAAAGCAUGGAACUAGAUUGAAUCUUUCUUGGGAAUCCCCAGCAAUGCUGGAGGUUGUGGAGUGGCGGGAAAUCAGGGUCAAUUUCAAUCAAACGUGUAUCUCUUUGUAUGCUUAAAAUAAAAAAAAAAAUCUCGAUAAAUCAUCUCUUUCAAUUACAAAUAACUGUUAUUGAAUUAUUAUUAUUAUUAUUAUUCGUAAUAUAAUUCAAUUAACUAUUUGCUGGACACCUACAGUGUUACACCCGACUAAGGGGAAAAGAAAAAGAUCAUACAAGUUAAAGUUAAUUAAUUUGACAAAAAAAAAAAAAAAUCAAAUUUGUUUCAUCAUCUCAAGAUGUCAAGGGUGAAGACUACUACUAUGCGCCAAAACUCAUUUCUUUGGGUCCUUACCACCAUGGCAAGCCCACCUCAAGGAUGGAGAAACGCUCAAGCUUAAAUUGGCAGAAGCCUACAUCCAAGAAUGUGUGCCAAGAGUGGAUGAAAUUUACCACACAAUUAGCGAAAGCAUUAGUGAGCUGAGGGGCUGUUAUAAUGCGGAGUCCACAAAGAAAUAUAAGGAUGACGAAUUAACCAUCAUGAUGCUGGUGGACGGGUGUGCUUUACUCUGUUACAUUUUAUGCGUUUGCUUAGGUUAUGGCCAUGAAGAUUUCAAUAUCAGAUAUCAGAAAAUGAAAAUUUGGAAGGUCCUUCGUCAUCGGAAACUGAAAUUGGCCGGAGGCUGGGUAGAGCAUCAGUUAGAGAUGUGAAGGAGGUUAUGGCAUCAUUUAGAAAUGUGAAGGAGCUGAUGGACGCUGGAAUCCGCAUCAAGCGCAAUCCUACACGUCACUUGAGGGACAUUUCUUUCCGUUCAAAUGGGAUCACCGCAUGCCUGAGAAUUCCUCCCAUCACCAUUGAUAACUCAACCAAGGCUAUGUUCUUGAACUUGAUAGCCUAUGAAAUGAGCUCAGACGUCGACCAUGACUUCAUCUCUUACCUUCGCUUCCUUGAUUCCCUCAUUGAUCAUGCUGAUGACGUUAAGGAGCUGCAGUCCAUCGGGAUACCAAAACAAUCUAGGAACCCACGAAGAAGUGGCUCAAUUCUUCAACACCGUGUCCGCCAACUUGGAAUCCAACUUUCAUGCUUACAAAGACGUGAGAGUGAAAAUUCGGAAGCACCUUCAGAGUCACUAUAACAGCAAACUGACGAUGUGGAUGACACAAUGCCUGGACACCUAUUUCGGUAGCCCCUGGACAAUCAUAGCUUGGGUUGGUGCAGCUUUGGCCCUAUUCCUUACUUUCGUCCAGACUUACUUCUCAGUCUUCCCUCAUUGAUGCAUGCCUGUCCUGUUUUCAACUAUCACCAUCUCAAUUAAGGUAGUAUCCACUCCAAAUUUCCUUGUUUUUCUCGCUAUCUGCAUUUUACCUAGUCCAUGUAAAUUAAGCAAAGACUCAUUGGCUUCAUGCGCUUUUGACCUUACCUCUUUUGUGUUUUUGGUUUCAGCCUAUUUUCUACAUUGCUUUCCGUGCUUAAAUUAAGUAAAGAAUGACUAUGUA
rnacentral:lncRNA from 1 species